rnacentral:rRNA from 1 species
UCGAACGGCAGCGGGGGAGAAGCUUGCUUCUCCUGCCGGCGAGUGGCGAACGGGUGAGUAAUACAUCGGAACGUGCCCUGUAGUGGGGGAUAACUAGUCGAAAGAUUAGCUAAUACCGCAUACGACCUGAGGGUGAAAGUGGGGGACCGCAAGGCCUCAUGCUAUAGGAGCGGCCGAUGUCUGAUUAGCUAGUUGGUGGGGUAAAGGCCCACCAAGGCGACGAUCAGUAGCUGGUCUGAGAGGACGAUCAGCCACACUGGGACUGAGACACGGCCCAGACUCCUACGGGAGGCAGCAGUGGGGAAUUUUGGACAAUGGGCGAAAGCCUGAUCCAGCAAUGCCGCGUGUGUGAAGAAGGCCUUCGGGUUGUAAAGCACUUUUGUCCGGAAAGAAAUGGCUCUGGUUAAUACCUGGAGUCGAUGACGGUACCGGAAGAAUAAGGACCGGCUAACUACGUGCCAGCAGCCGCGGUAAUACGUAGGGUCCAAGCGUUAAUCGGAAUUACUGGGCGUAAAGCGUGCGCAGGCGGUUGUGCAAGACCGAUGUGAAAUCCCCGAGCUUAACUUGGGAAUUGCAUUGGUGACUGCACGGCUAGAGUGUGUCAGAGGGGGGUAGAAUUCCACGUGUAGCAGUGAAAUGCGUAGAGAUGUGGAGGAAUACCGAUGGCGAAGGCAGCCCCCUGGGAUAACACUGACGCUCAUGCACGAAAGCGUGGGGAGCAAACAGGAUUAGAUACCCUGGUAGUCCACGCCCUAAACGAUGUCAACUAGUUGUUGGGGAUUCAUUUCCUUAGUAACGUAGCUAACGCGUGAAGUUGACCGCCUGGGGAGUACGGUCGCAAGAUUAAAACUCAAAGGAAUUGACGGGGACCCGCACAAGCGGUGGAUGAUGUGGAUUAAUUCGAUGCAACGCGAAAAACCU